rnacentral:rRNA from 1 species
UACCGGCAGCUCAAGUGGUAGCCGCGAUUAUUGGGCCUAAAGCGUUCGUAGCCGGAUAAGUAAGUCUUUGGUUAAAUCCUGCGACUUAACCGUGGGAAAUCUAGAGAUACUGCUUGUCUUGAGACCGGGAGAGGUUGGAGGUACUCCCAGGGUAGGGGUGAAAUCCUGUAAUCCUGGGGGACCACCUGUGGCGAAGGCGUCCAACUGGAACGGGUCUGACGGUGAGGGACGAAACCUAGGGGAGCGAGCC